GGAUUAGAUACCCUGGUAGUCCAUGCUGUAAACGAUGUCUACUAGCUGUUGGAUUUGUAUAGAUUUAGUGGCGCAGUUAACGCACUAAGUAGACCGCCUGGGGAGUACGGCCGCAAGGUUAAAACUCAAAUGAAUUGACGGGGGCCCGCACAAGCGGUGGAGCAUGUGGUUUAAUUCGACGCAACGCGAAGAACCUUACCUACACUUGACAUGCAGAGAACUUUCUAGAGAUAGAUUGGUGCCUUCGGGAACUCUGACACAGGUGCUGCAUGGCUGUCGUCAGCUCGUGUCG
rnacentral:rRNA from 1 species